rnacentral:rRNA from 1 species
CAGCAGCCGCCGCGGGAAUACCGAGGGUGCGAGCGUUAAUCGGAUUUACUGGGCGUAAAGCGUGCGUAGGCGUCUUUUUAAGUCGGAUGUGAAAUCCCUGAGCUUAACUUAGGAAUUGCAUUCGAUACUGGGAAGCUAGAGUAUGGGAGAGGAUGGUAGAAUUCCAGGUGUAGCGGUGAAAUGCGUAGAGAUCUGGAGGAAUACCGAUGGCGAAGGCAGCCAUCUGGCCUAAUACUGACGCUGAGGUACGAAAGCAUGGGGAGCAAACAGGAUUAGAUACCCCUGUAGUCCCUGUCUCUUAUAC